rnacentral:rRNA from 1 species
GGGAAACUCACCAGGUCCAGACACAAUAAGGAUUGACAGAUUGAGAGCUCUUUCUUGAUUUUGUGGGUGGUGGUGCAUGGCCGUUCUUAGUUGGUGGAGUGAUUUGUCUGCUUAAUUGCGAUAACGAACGAGACCUUAACCUGCUAAAUAGCCAGGCCCGCUUUGGCGGGUCGCCGGCUUCUUAGGGGGACUAUCGGCUCAAGCCGAUGGAAGUUUGAGGCAAUAA